CUAAGUGAAAGUAUAAUGUUCUGUGUUCUCGGAAAUGUUUCCUCUGCACGUUAGCGUUUUUGGUAGCUACGUGAUGAGUUACAUCUGUCCUUGUGCGAGGAGACAUGUAAACAACGCUAGGCCUGGAAUAGAUCUGCUGAAGACAUAGAAUGUGAUUGGAAUGGAAACUGGGAGACUGAGUCCCUGACUGGGCAGGAGGAAAUACCAAACGAAUCGUUCCUGUCUCGAAUGAUGCAGGCAGAGGAUAGGAAGAAAACAAAACUCAGUGUGAGUUCCAGCAAAGGCGUGGUGGAGGAAUAUUGUCUAAGAGAGCGACCAAAAGAGGACACAGCAAAAAUGAAGAACAAAGUGACCAGCACACAAG
rnacentral:lncRNA from 1 species